rnacentral:rRNA from 1 species
GCGGAGGAAAAGAAACCAACUGGGAUUGCCUUAGUAACGGCGAGUGAAGCGGCAACAGCUCAAAUUUGAAAUCUGGCAUCAGCCCGAGUUGUAAUUUGUAGAGGAUGUUUCGGGCAAGGCUUCGGUUUAAAUUUCUUGGAACAGAAUGUCAUAGAGGGUGAGAGUCCCGUCUAAAACCAUCUGCCGCGUCCAUGUGAAACUCCUUCGACGAGUCGAGUUGUUUGGGAAUGCAGCUCAAAAUGGGAGGUAAAUUUCUUCUAAAGCUAAAUAUUGGCCAGAGACCGAUAGCGCACAAGUAGAGUGAUCGAAAGAUGAAAAGCACUUUGAAAAGAGAGUUAAACAGUAUGUGAAAUUGUUGAAAGGGAAGCAUUUGCAACCAGACUUGAGUUUAACGGUUCAACCACCAUUUUUGGUGGUCCAUUCCGUUAUAUCCAGGCCAGCAUCGGUUCAGGUGGUUAGUUAAAGGCCUUGGGAAUGUAUCAACGCUUCGGGGUUGACUUAUAGCCCUUGGUGUAAUGUGACCUAUCUGGACCGAGGUACGCGCUUCGGCUCGGAUGCUGGCGUAAUGGUUGUAAAUGACCCGUCUUGAAACACGGACCAAGGAGUCUAACAUCUAUGCGAGUGUUCGGGUGUCAAACCCCUACGCGUAAUGAAAGUGAACGGAGGUAGGAACCGCAAGGUGCACUAUCGACCGAUCCUGAUGUCUUCGGAUGGAUUUGAGUAAGAGCAUAGCUGUUGGGACCCGAAAGAUGGUGAACUAUGCCUGAAUAGGGUGAAGCCAGAGGAAACUCUGGUGGAGGCUCGCAGCGGUUCUGACGUGCAAAUCGAUCGUCAAAUUUGGGUAUAGGGGCGAAAGUACUUUAGUUAAGAAAUAUCCUUCUUUCGCUAUAAUAGCUGUCAACGGAUAGCUAAUUAGUCAGUAAAAUGGCAAGGCUUUCGAUCUGCGGGGAUACCAAUCAAAGGUUGCCCGCACCCGUGUCUUAACGGGUCACAGAUUAAGUUAAAGCCGGUAGACCUCUCCUUUGUUAAAGGGUUUACUUGAGAUAUAAUCGGCCACUGGGGUUGCCCCCGGUUGAACAGUGGACUAAUCGAACCAUCUGGUAGCUGGUUCCUGCCGAAGUUUCCCUCAGGAUAGCAGUAACGUUUUCAGUUUUAUGAGGUAAAGCGAAUGAUUAGAGGCCUUGGGGUUGAAACAACCUUAACCUAUUCUCAAACUUUAAAUAUGUAAGAAGUCCUUGUUACUUAGUUGAACGUGGACAUUUGAAUGUAUCGUUACUAGUGGGCCAUUUUUGGUAAGCAGAACUGGCGAUGCGGGAUGAACCGAACGUGAGGUUAAGGUGCCGGAAUACACGCUCAUCAGACACCACAAAAGGUGUCAAUGCAUCUAGACAGUCCGACGGUGGCCAUGGAAGUCGGAAUCCGCUAAGGAGUGUGUAACAACUCACGGGCCGAAUGCAUUGGCCCUGAAAAUGGAUGGCGCUCAAGCGUGUUACCUAUACCUCGCCGUUAAAGUUUUAAUGAUGCUUUAACGAGUAGGCAGGCGUGGAGAUUUGUGACGAAGCCUUUGGGGUGACCCUGGGUC